rnacentral:rRNA from 1 species
UACGUAGGGUGCGAGCGUUAAUCGGAAUUACUGGGCGUAAAGCGCGGGCAGGCGGUCUGACAAGUCUGAUGUGAAAUCUCCGGGCUUAACCGGGAGAGGCCAUUGGAAACUGACAGGCUGGAGGGCAGUAGAGGUAGGCGGAAUUCCGGGUGGAGUGGUGAAAUGCGUAGAGAUCCGGAGGAACACCAGAGGCGAAGGCGGCCUACUGGGCUGCACCUGACGCUGAGCCGCGAAAGCCAGGGGAGCGAACGGG